rnacentral:rRNA from 1 species
AACGAACGCUGGCGGCAUGCCUAACACAUGCAAGUCGAACGAGACCUUCGGGCUUAGUGGCGCACGUGUGCGUAACGCGUGGGAACCUGCCUUUAGGUUCGGAAUAACUCAGAGAAAUUUGAGCUAAUACCGGAGGAUGUCUUCGGACCAAAGAGUUAUCGCCUUUGGCUGGGCCCGGGUUGGCUUAGCUGGUUGGUAGGGUAAAGGCCUACCAAGGCCGCGAUCCAUAGCUGGUCGGAGAGGAUGCUCCGCCAGACUGGGGCUGCGACACGGCCCAGAAUCCUACGGAACGGAGCAGUGGAGAAUAUUGGACGCUGGGGCAUGGCCUGAUCCAGCCAUGUCGGGUAAGAGGUGAAGGCCGUAGGGUUGUGCAGCUCUUUUAGCCGAGACGAUAAUGACGGUAUCGGGAGAAUAAGCACCGGCUAACUCCGUG